UGCAAGUCGAGCGCCCCGCAAGGGGAGCGGCAGACGGGUGAGUAACGCGUGGGAAUCUACCCUUUUCUACGGAAUAACGCAGGGAAACUUGUGCUAAUACCGUAUGUGUCCUUCGGGAGAAAGAUUUAUCGGGAAAGGAUGAGCCCGCGUUGGAUUAGCUAGUUGGUGGGGUAAAGGCCUACCAAGGCGACGAUCCAUAGCUGGUCUGAGAGGAUGAUCAGCCACAUUGGGACUGAGACACGGCCCAAACUCCUACGGGAGGCAGCAGUGGGGAAUAUUGGACAAUGGGCGCAAGCCUGAUCCAGCCAUGCCGCGUGAGUGAUGAAGGCCCUAGGGUUGUAAAGCUCUUUCACCGGAGAAGAUAAUGACGGUAUCCGGAGAAGAAGCCCCGGCUAACUUCGUGCCAGCAGCCGCGGUAAUACGAAGGGGGCUAGCGUUGUUCGGAAUUACUGGGCGUAAAGCGCACGUAGGCGGAUCGAUCAGUCAGGGGUGAAAUCCCAGGGCUCAACCCUGGAACUGCCUUUGAUACUGUCGAUCUGGAGUAUGGAAGAGGUGAGUGGAAUUCCGAGUGUAGAGGUGAAAUUCGUAGAUAUUCGGAGGAACACCAGUGGCGAAGGCGGCUCACUGGUCCAUUACUGACGCUGAGGUGCGAAAGCGUGGGAGCAAACAGGAUUAGAUACCCUGGUAGUCCACGCCGUAAACGAUGAAUGUUAGCCGUCGGGCAGUAUACUGUUCGGUGGCGCAGCUAACGCAUUAAACAUUCCGCCUGGGGAGUACGGUCGCAAGAUUAAAACUCAAAGGAAUUGACGGGGGCCCGCACAAGCGGU
rnacentral:rRNA from 1 species